UAAUGUCUGGGAAACUGCCUGAUGGAGGGGGAUAACUACUGGAAACGGUAGCUAAUACCGCAUAACGUCGCAAGACCAAAGAGGGGGACCUUCGGGCCUCUUGCCAUCGGAUGUGCCCAGAUGGGAUUAGCUAGUAGGUGGGGUAACGGCUCACCUAGGCGACGAUCCCUAGCUGGUCUGAGAGGAUGACCAGCCACACUGGAACUGAGACACGGUCCAGACUCCUACGGGAGGCAGCAGUGGGGAAUAUUGCACAAUGGGCGCAAGCCUGAUGCAGCCAUGCCGCGUGUAUGAAGAAGGCCUUCGGGUUGUAAAGUACUUUCAGCGGGGAGGAA
rnacentral:rRNA from 1 species